rnacentral:rRNA from 1 species
CAUGCAAGUCGAGCGGGGUUCCUUCGGGAACCUAGCGGCGAACGGGUGAGUAACACGUGGGCAACCUGCCCUCAAGCCUGGGAUAACUCCGGGAAACCGGUGCUAAUACCAGAUAAUCAUCGCUUCCGCAUGGAAGCUUUGUAAAAGUUUUUCGCUUGAGGAUGGGCCCGCGGUGCAUUAGCUUGUUGGUGAGGUAACGGCUCACCAAGGCGACGAUGCAUAGCCGACCUGAGAGGGUGACCGGCCACACUGGGACUGAGACACGGCCCAGACUCCUACGGGAGGCAGCAGUAGGGAAUUUUCCGCAAUGGGCGAAAGCCUGACGGAGCAACGCCGCGUGAGUGAUGACGGCCUUCGGGUUGUAAAGCUCUGUUCUUAGGGAAGAAGUUCUGACGGUACCUAAGGAGAAAGCCCCGGCUAACUACGUGCCAGCAGCCGCGGUAAUACGUAGGGGGCAAGCGUUGUCCGGAAUUAUUGGGCGUAAAGCGCGCGCAGGCGGCGCUUUAAGUUGGGGGUUAAAGGCAAUGGCUCAACCAUUGUUCGCCUCCAAAACUGGAGCGCUUGAGUGCAGCAGAGGAAAGUGGAAUUCCCGGUGUAGCGGUGGAAUGCGUAGAGAUCGGGAGGAACACCAGUGGCGAANGCGACUUUCUGGGCUGUAACUGACGCUGA